rnacentral:rRNA from 9 species
AAAUUGAAGAGUUUGAUCAUGGCUCAGAUUGAACGCUGGCGGCAGGCCUAACACAUGCAAGUCGAACGGUAACAGGAAGCAGCUUGCUGCUUCGCUGACGAGUGGCGGACGGGUGAGUAAUGUCUGGGAAACUGCCUGAUGGAGGGGGAUAACUACUGGAAACGGUGGCUAAUACCGCAUAACGUCGCAAGACCAAAGAGGGGGACCUUCGGGCCUCUUGCCAUCAGAUGUGCCCAGAUGGGAUUAGCUUGUUGGUGAGGUAACGGCUCACCAAGGCGACGAUCCCUAGCUGGUCUGAGAGGAUGACCAGCCACACUGGAACUGAGACACGG